AAAUCAUCACUGAACACUAAACUUGUUUCAUGUAGAGAGAGGAGGAACUAAAUGUCUUCAUGGAGCUGCUGUCUCCCACACGGGUAGCACUUUGAUUCUAAUGGCAUGGUGCUUCAAGGGGCUCCCUGAAAAUCAGACAUUAACAAGUACCAUGAAGACAGAACUAGAGCAGGAGAGGGAGUGAUGGAUGGGAGGAAGCUAUUUGGGCCAAGGGAGGCUCUCUGAGAAGAUAUUGGGACUCAUUUAGAGGGAGGGACCAAUAAAGGGUAAAAAGCUUCACAGAAAGACUUGAGAUGCAGAGACACCCCCAGUGGUGGAUGACAGAUGCAGAGAACCCCAGUGCUGAGACCAAAGCCGGCGCGAUGCCGCACUUUCUGGACUGGUUUGUGCCCGUCUACCUGGUCAUCUCCGUCCUAAUCCUGGUGGGCUUUGGAGCCUGCAUCUACUACUUCGAACCUGGCCUGCAGGAGGCGCACAAGUGGCGCAUGCAGCGCCCCCUGGUGGACCGUGAUCUCCGCAAGACGCUGAUGGUGCGGGACAACCUGGCUUUCGGAGGCCCAGAAGUCUGAGGCUGCCUUGAGACCCUCCGAGCUGACAGAGGACGACUCCUCUUUCCAUCCACUUUCUUUCCAUCCACCCACCUGCAGCCCAGUAGAGGUCCUUGUUGUUCAGGGAAGCCCCUUUCUGUAGAAACCAGGCACUUGGAUCUUACUUGUUGCUGUGGGAUCAAAAUCCCAGAGUCGAGCCCGUUCACCCUAUGCCUUCCCUUCCUAGCUCUGGGGACAUCCUCCACUAGCCCUCAGUGCCUUUGUGCUGUCCUUCCCUCUGCCACUCUACCUGGAUUCAGGUAUGACUGUCCCACUGCACUCCCGGUUGCUUUCUGCUCCGGUCUCUGCCUCGCAGUUGAGCUGGACAGCACUCAAAGCUGACCCAAGGAAAAGAAUCUAAUUCAGAAGCAUGCCAGCUUGGUAUCGAUCUGCCCCGCCCACCUUUGAGGGGUCAGGUUUAGAACAAGUGUGUGGUGGGGGGCGGUGCAGAAGGGCAAGACUUUGUGAAGGGUGUGUGUG